GACAAACGCUGGCGGCGUGCCUAACACAUGCAAGUCGAGCGCGAAAGGGACCUUCGGGUCCCCUGAGAGCGGCGAACGGGUGAGUAACACGUGGGCAGCCUGCCUCAAGGACUGGGAUAACUCCGGGAAACCGGGGCUAAUACCGGGCGAUGUCGUCUGGCGCAAGCCGGCCGACCAAAUGGUAGCUUCGGCCUCCGCCUUGAGAUGGGCCUGCGUCCUAUCAGCUUGUUGGUGAGGUAAUGGCUCACCAAGGCUACGACGGGUAGCUGGUCUGAGAGGAUGAUCAGCCACACUGGGACUGAGAUACGGCCCAGACUCCUACGGGAGGCAGCAGUGGGGAAUUUUGCGCAAUGGGCGAAAGCCUGACGCAGCAACGCCGCGUGAGCGAAGAAGGCCUUCGGGUUGUAAAGCUCUGUCAGGGGGAAAGAAGGCACCUGGGUUAAUAGCCCAAGGGCUGACGGUACCCCCAAAGGAAGCCACGGCUAACUUCGUGCCAGCAGCCGCGGUAAAAC
rnacentral:rRNA from 1 species